UUUCGCAAUGCCCGAAAGGGUGACGAAGCGACGCCGCGUGUGGGAAGAAGGCCUUCGGGUUGUAAACCACUGUCGGGAGUUAAGAAAUGUAAGGGUGUUAAUAGCAUUCUUACUUGACGUUAGCUCCGGAGGAAGCCACGGCUAACUCUGUGCCAGCAGCCGCGGUAAUACAGAGGUGGCAAGCGUUGUCCGGAAUUAUUGGGCGUAAAGAGCACGUAGGCGGCCCUGCAAGUCAGCUGUGAAAUCCUUCUGCUCAACGGAAGAACGGUAGUUGAUACUACAGGGCUCGAGUGCGGGAGGGGAGAGUGGAACUUCUGGUGGAGCGGUGAAAUGCGUAGAUAUCAGAAGGAACAUCGGCGGCGAAAGCGACUCUCUGGCCCGUAACUGACGCUGAGGUGCGAAAGCUAGGGGAGCAAACGGGAUUAGAUACCCCGGUAGUCCUAGCCGUAAACGAUGGGCACUAAGUAGAGGGGUUUU
rnacentral:rRNA from 1 species